AUUGAACGCUGGCGGAAUGCUUUACACAUGCAAGUCGAACGGUAGAGGGGGCAACCCCUCGAGAGUGGCGAACGGGUGAGUAAUAUAUCGGAACGUGCCCAGUCGUGGGGGAUAACGUAGCGAAAGUUACGCUAAUACCGCAUACGAUCUAAGGAUGAAAGCGGGGGAUCGCAAGACCUCGCGCGAUUGGAGCGGCCGAUAUCAGAUUAGGUAGUUGGUGGGGUAAAGGCUCACCAAGCCAACGAUCUGUAGCUGGUCUGAGAGGACGACCAGCCACACUGGAACUGAGACACGGUCCAGACUCCUACGGGAGGCAGCAGUGGGGAAUUUUGGACAAUGGGCGCAAGCCUGAUCCAGCAAUGCCGCGUGCAGGAUGAAGGCCUUCGGGUUGUAAACGUGCUUUUGUACGGUAACGAAACGGUUACUUUC
rnacentral:rRNA from 1 species